UUUAGAUGUAAAUUUUUAUUUUAAUUAUUAAUAGUUAUGUUCUUUAAAAUUAAAAAAAUUGGCUGUAUUUAAUACUAAUUAGGGGAAUUUGUUUAUUAAACGAUGGUCCGCGAUAUAUCUUACUUUAAUUUAUUAAAUUUAUUUAUUUUCGUUAUCAGAAUAUUUUUUAGGAAAUUUAAAUUUUCAUAAAAUUUUAUAAAAUUUUAUUUCAGAUCAAGAUGUAGUUUAUAUUAAAGAUUAAAUGAAUUACAAUAAAAUUAUUAUUUUUGAAUAUUAGAUUGAAAAAUUUAAUUGAAAUUGGACUUAAUAGUAAAAUAUAAAAUUAUAUUUAUUUGAAUUUAGAAUUAAAUAAGU
rnacentral:rRNA from 1 species